ACAAAAUUUGUUUAACUACGUCAGUCAGUGCGGAUUUUUGGAAAACUGAUUUUGAAUGCUCUGAUUUUUUUUUAAAAAACAUAAUGCCAUCGUGUACAGUAAAAUUUUACGGUGUCUCAGCUUAUUCGGCCAAAAAGCAGAUCCAAUAAAGUUUCGUGUUUGUUUGCAACAUUUUCGUGCGGAGCACUUCGAGCAUAGGUUCCAAGCUGAUUCCAGGCUCAUUUUAACAUAGGAAUCCGUUUCAUCAAUACACACCAUCUCCAAGGAAUCCAUCGGCACGGGCGGUUCGAGCCAGAAAGAAGGCAAUAUCUAGGUAACAGAGCUGGUAAGGCAACACUAGAUACAAGCAGCAGCCGAAGAAUCUACUUCUCCGGCCAAUCUGGUUCGAAGUGCAGAUGGGAAAGUUUUCCGAUGGGGGUCGAUGGCAACUUGUUAGCUGAAACGU